rnacentral:rRNA from 1 species
AACGAACGCUGGCGGCAGGCUUAACACAUGCAAGUCGAACGCCCCGCAAGGGGAGUGGCAGACGGGUGAGUAACGCGUGGGAAUCUACCCAGUUCUACGGAACAACACAGGGAAACUUGUGCUAAUACCGUAUACGCCCUACGGGGGAAAGAUUUAUCGGAAUUGGAUGAGCCCGCGUAAGAUUAGCUAGUUGGUGGGGUAAUGGCCUACCAAGGCGACGAUAUUUAGCUGGUCUGAGAGGAUGAUCAGCCACACUGGGACUGAGACACGGCCCAGACUCCUACGGUAGGCAGCAGUGGGGAAUAUUGGACAAUGGGCGUAAGCCUGAUCCAGCCAUGCCGCGUGAGUGAUGAAGGCCUUAGGGUUGUAAAGCUCUUUCAGUGGGGACGAUAAUGACGGUACCCACAGAAGAAGCCCCGGCUAACUUCGUGCCAGCAGCCGCCGUAACAC